rnacentral:rRNA from 1 species
AGAAUCAACCGGGAUUGCCUUAGUAACGGCGAGUGAAGCGGCAAAAGCUCAAAUUUGAAAUCUGGUACCUUCGGUGCCCGAGUUGUAAUUUGGAGAGGGCAACUUUGGGGCCGUUCCUUGUCUAUGUUCCUUGGAACAGGACGUCAUAGAGGGUGAGAAUCCCGUGUGGCGAGGAGUGCGGUUCUUUGUAAAGUGCCUUCGAAGAGUCGAGUUGUUUGGGAAUGCAGCUCUAAGUGGGUGGUAAAUUCCAUCUAAAGCUAAAUAUUGGCGAGAGACCGAUAGCGAACAAGUACAGUGAUGGAAAGAUGAAAAGAACUUUGAAAAGAGAGUGAAAAAGUACGUGAAAUUGUUGAAAGGGAAGGGCAUUUGAUCAGACAUGGUGUUUUGUGCCCUCUGCUCCUUGUGGGUAGGGGAAUCUCGCAUUUCACUGGGCCAGCAUCAGUUUUGGUGGCAGGAUAAAUCCAUAGGAAUGUAGCUUGCCUCGGUAAGUAUUAUAGCCUGUGGGAAUACUGCCAGCUGGGACUGAGGACUGCGACGUAAGUCAAGGAUGCUGGCAUAAUGGUUAUAUGCCGCCCGUCUUGAAACACGGACCAAGGAGUCUAACGUCUAUGCGAGUGUUUGGGUGUAAAACCCAUACGCGUAAUGA